UUCGGAGGUACUCGAGUGGCGAACGGGUGAGUAACACGUGGGUAAUCUGCCCUGCACUUCGGGAUAAGCCUGGGAAACUGGGUCUAAUACCGGAUAGGACCUUUUGGCGCAUGCCUUUUGGUGGAAAGCUUUUGCGGUGUGGGAUGGGCCCGCGGCCUAUCAGCUUGUUGGUGGGGUGACGGCCUACCAAGGCGACGACGGGUAGCCGGCCUGAGAGGGUGUCCGGCCACACUGGGACUGAGAUACGGCCCAGACUCCUACGGGAGGCAGCAGUGGGGAAUAUUGCACAAUGGGCGCAAGCCUGAUGCAGCGACGCCGCGUGGGGGAUGACGGCCUUUCGGGUUGUAAACCUCUUUCAGCAGGGACGAAGCGCAAGUGACGGUACCUGCAGAAGAAGCACCGGCCAACUACGUGCCAGCAGCCGCGGUAAUACGUAGGGUGCGAGCGUUGUCCGGAAUUACUGGGCGUAAAGAGCUCGUAGGUGGUUUGUCGCGUUGUUCGUGAAAACCGGGGGCUUAACCCUCGGCGUGCGGGCGAUACGGGCAGACUGGAGUACUGCAGGGGAGACUGGAAUUCCUGGUGUAGCGGUGGAAUGCGCAGAUAUCAGGAGGAACACCGGUGGCGAAGGCGGGUCUCUGGGCAGUAACUGACGCUGAGGAGCGAAAGCGUGGGGAGCGAACAGGAUUAGAUACCCUGGUAGUCCACGCCGUAAACGGUGGGUACUAGGUGUGGGUUUCCUUCCUUGGAAUCCGUGCCGUAGCUAACGCAUUAAGUACCCCGCCUGGGGAGUACGGCCGCAAGGCUAAAACUCAAAGGAAUUGACGGGGGCCCGCACAAGCGGCGGAGCAUGUGGAUUAAUUCGAUGCAACGCGAAGAACCUUACCUGGGUUUGACAUGCACAGGACGCCGGCAGAGAUGUCGGUUCCCUUGUGGCCUGUGUGCAGGUGGUGCAUGGCUGUCGUCAGCUCGUGUCGUGAGAUGUUGGGUUAAGUCCCGCAACGAGCGCAACCCUUGUCUCAUGUUGCCAGCGGGUAAUGCCGGGGACUCGUGAGAGACUGCCGGGGUCAACUCGGAGGAAGGUGGGGAUGACGUCAAGUCAUCAUGCCCCUUAUGUCCAGGGCUUCACACAUGCUACAAUGGCCGGUACAAAGGGCUGCGAUGCCGUAAGGUUAAGCGAAUCCUUUUAAAGCCGGUCUCAGUUCGGAUCGGGGUCUGCAACUCGACCCCGUGAAGUCGGAGUCGCUAGUAAUCGCAGAUCAGCAACGCUGCGGUGAAUACGUUCCCGGGCCUUGUACACACCGCCCGUCACGUCAUGAAAGUCGGUAACACCCGAAGCCAGUGGCCUA
rnacentral:rRNA from 1 species